rnacentral:rRNA from 1 species
UACAGAGGGUGCGAGCGUUGUUCGGAAUUACUGGGCGUAAAGCGCGCGCAGGCGGCCUUUUAAGUCUCGUGGUGAAAUGCCGGGGCUCAACCCCGUGCCCGCCGGAGAUACUGGGAGGCUGGAGACGAGUAGAGGCAAGCGGAAUUCCGGGUGUAGCGGUGGAAUGCGUAGAGAUCCGGAAGAACACCGGAGGCGAAGGCGGCUUGCUGGGCUCGGUCUGACGCUGAGGCGCGAAAGCGUGGGGAGUGAACAGG